UACGUAGGCAGCGAGCGUUGUUCGGAAUUACUGGGCGUAAAGGGCUCGUAGGCGGCCAACUAAGUCAGACGUGAAAUCCCUCGGCUUAACCGGGGAACUGCGUCUGAUACUGGAUGGCUUGAGAUUGGGAGAGGGAUGCGGAAUUCCAGGUGUAGCGGUGAAAUGCGUAGAUAUCUGGAGGAACACCGGUGGCGAAGGCGGCAUCCUGGACCAACACUGACGCUGAGGAGCGAAAGCCAGGGGAGCAAACGGG
rnacentral:rRNA from 1 species